rnacentral:rRNA from 1 species
GAUAAACGUUUGCGGCGUGCCUGAUGCAUGCAAGUCGAACGCCCUGAUUUUUCGCAAGAAGUAUCAGGGAGUGGCGAACGGCUGAGUAACGCGUAAGUAACCUACCCUUAAGUGGGGGAUAACCUGCCGAAAGGCAGGCUAAUACCGCAUGUGCUGGUAAGCGUUAGUUUAUCAGUAAAGAUUUUUCGCUUGAGGAGGGGCUUGCGUCUGAUUAGCUAGUUGGUAGGGUAAUGGCCUACCAAGGCGAUGAUCAGUAGCUGGUCUGAGAGGACAACCAGCCAGACGGGGACUGAGAUACGGCCCUGACUCCUACGGGAGGCAG